UGGCUCUCGCAUCGAUGAAGAACGCAGCGAAAUGCGAUAAGUAAUGUGAAUUGCAGAAUUCAGUGAAUCAUCGAAUCUUUGAACGCACCUUGCGCUCUUUGGUAUUCCGAAGAGCAUGCCUGUUUGAGUGUCAUGUAGACUCACCCCUAAUGGUUUUUCUAUUAGAUGGUGGAUUGGGCGUCUGCCUCGGUUAACCCCUUGGCUCGCCUUAAAUGCAUUAGUAGGCCUUUGGAUGUAAUAAGUUUCAUCUGUGGUCGGCUUAUAACCCCCAUUACUUUUACACUCUGACCUCAAAUCAGGUAGGACUACCCGCUGA
rnacentral:misc_RNA from 1 species